UGAAUACGAGACGCUAAGGCGUCGAAGUAGUGUAUAUCAGACUUCCAAGAAAAGCUUGCACUGUCAUAGAUAAAAAAUGCCUGUACCAUAACCGACACAGGUGGGUAGGUAGAGUAUACUAAGGGGCGCGAGAUAACUCUCUCUAAGGAACUCGGCAAAAUAACUCCGUAACUUCGGGAGAAGGAGUGCCUUAUUUAUAAGGUUGCAAUAACAAGAUCCAAGCAACUGUUUAUCAAAAACACAGGUCUCCGCUAAGUCGUAAGACGAUGUAUGGGGGCUGACGCCUGCCCAGUGCCAGAAGGUUAAAGAAGUUGGUUAGCAAUUGCGAAGCUGAUAACUGAAGCCCUGGUGAACGGCGGCCGUAACUAUAACGGUCCUAAGGUAGCGAAAUUCCUUGUCGGGUAAGUUCCGACCCGCACGAAAGGCGUAAUGAUUUGGAUACUGUCUCGGAGAGGGGCUCGGUGAAAUAGACUUGUCUGUGAAGAUGCGGACUACCUGCACCAGGACAGAAAGACCCUAUGAAGCUUUACUGUAACUUGAAAUUGAAAUUGGACUUUAUUCGCGCAGCAUAGGUGGGAGGCGUUGAUUAUAAUCUUGCGGGAUUAUUGGAGCCAUCAGUGAGAUACCACUCUUGUAAUGUUAGAUUUCUAACUUUGAAUCAUUAUCUGGUCAAAGAACAGUUUCAGGCGGGCAGUUUGACUGGGGCGGUCGCCUCCUAAAUGGUAACGGAGGCGUACAAAGGUUUCCUCUGAACGGUUAGAAAUCGUAUCUAGAGUGUAAAGGCAUAAGGAAGCUUGACUGUGAGACCUACAAGUCGAGCAGGGACGAAAGUCGGUCUUAGUGAUCUGACGGUACUGAGUGGAAAGGCCGUCACUCAACGGAUAAAAGUUACUCUAGGAUAACAGGCUGAUCUCCCCCAAGAGUUCACAUCGACGGGGAGGUUUGGCACCUCGAUGUCGGCUCAUCGCAUCCUGGGGCGGUAGUACGUCCCAAGGGUUGGGCUGUUCGCCCAUGAAAGCGGUACGCGAGCUGGGUUCAGAACGUCGUGAGACAGUUCGGUCCAUAUCCGGUGUAGGCGUUAGAAUAUUGAGAGGAGCCUUCUUUAGUACGAGAGGACCGAGAAGGACAUACCUCUGGUGUACCAGUUAUCGUGCCAACGGUAAACGCUGGGUAGCUAUGUAUGGAGUCGAUAACCGCUGAAAGCAUCUAAGUGGGAAGCCCACCUCAAGAUAAGUAUUCUC
rnacentral:rRNA from 1 species